rnacentral:misc_RNA from 1 species
AAGUCGUAACAAGGUUUCCGUAGGUGAACCUGCGGAAGGAUCAUUAGUGAAAAAAUAGGACUGGCGCAAGCCUUUCCGACCCUUCACAUCCACAUACACCUGUGCACCGGCGAUGGUUAACGCCUCGCCAUUUUACAUACUCCAUGUCAAUGAAUGUCAUAACGUAAUGCCUCACGGCAGAACCAAAACAAAACUUUCAACAACGGAUCUCUUGGCUCUC